AGCUUGGAACAGCAGUUCAUUCAAUCAGCAGUACAACCAAAAGAAAGCGAAACAUACCUUUGAAAUUGAAAUUGAAUCGAGCUCGGAACACUGGAACAGGACAGCAGCGUCUUCGACACUUCGUUUGCCCGGAAUUUGUGAGGAGUGAGGAAUCGAAUCGAGCUGGAAAUCGCCGCCUAUAACCCUAAAUUAGUUUGAUGCAGAAAAUCGAGCUGGGAUGAGAAUGAGAUGAGAUGAGACUUACAAAACUUACAAAAGUAGUGAAGUUAACCGGUGAAGAUGAGAUGAGACUCGAGCUCGACUGUCGACUGGUCGAUUCUCGUCUUCUUCUUCUCGGUGAUAUCCUUCCUAGACUCGCAGACUGAUAUCCUAGACUCGCAGUGGAUUCUCGUCUUCUUCUUCUCGAUGAUAUCCUUCCUAAGCAGUAAGUCCUAAUGGGUAAUGGCUAAUGCCCUACUUUG
rnacentral:lncRNA from 1 species